GUGCACCAGUCGCGAAACCUCCGCAAUGCGGGAAACCGCGACGGGGGACCCGAGUGCCGUGGCAACGCCACGGCUUUUCCGGAGUGUAAAAAGCUCCGGGAAUAAGGGCUGGGCAAGGCCGGUGGCAGCCGCCGGGGUAAUACCGGCGGCCCGAGUGGUGGCCGCUAUUAUUGGGCCUAAAGCGUCCGUAGCCGGGCCCGUAAGUCCCUGGCGAAAUCCCACGGCUCAACCGUGGGGCUUGCUGGGGAUACUGCGGGUCUUGGGACCGGGAGAGGCGGGGGGUACCCCUGGGGUAGGGGUGGAAAUCCUAUAAUCCCAGGGGGACCGCCAGUGGCGAAGGCGCCCCGCUGGAACGGGUCCGACGGUGAGGGACGAAGGCCAGGGGAGCAAAACCGGAUUAGAUACCCGCGUAGU
rnacentral:rRNA from 1 species